rnacentral:lncRNA from 1 species
AAGGGAGACCAUUCUCAUUCUUUUGAGACCCUGGAAAGGAUGGAAUUGGGAUAGGUAAACUGCUGUUUUACCAGAAUGUUCACUGGACCAAUCUCGUGUUCCAGGGAGACCCUCACGCAGGGCUUAGAGUUCUGUCGGCGGCAGCAGAGGGCCGAUGGCUCCUGGGAAGGCUCCUGGGGAGUUUGCUUCACCUACGGCACCUGGUUUGGCCUGGAGGCCUUCGCCUGUAUGGGGCAGACCUACCGAGAUGG